ACAACAUUCGGACCGUCAGUCUACCGAGCUAUUUCACACAUUCGGCGGAAGAUCUUCCCUUUGUCGU
rnacentral:pre_miRNA from 1 species